rnacentral:rRNA from 1 species
UGGGGAAUAUUGCACAAUGGGCGCAAGCCUGAUGCAGCCAUGCCGCGUGUAUGAAGAAGGCCUUCGGGUUGUAAAGUACUUUCAGCGGGGAGGAAGGGAGUAAAGUUAAUACCUUUGCUCAUUGACGUUACCCGCAGAAGAAGCACCGGCUAACUCCGUGCCAGCAGCCGCGGUAAUACGGAGGGUGCAAGCGUUAAUCGGAAUUACUGGGCGUAAAGCGCACGCAGGCGGUUUGUUAAGUCAGAUGUGAAAUCCCCGGGCUCAACCUGGGAACUGCAUCUGAUACUGGCAAGCUUGAGGCUCGUAGAGGGGGGUAGAAUUCCAGGUGGAGCGGUGAAAUGCGUAGAGAUCUGGGGGAAUACCGGUGGCGAAGGCGGCCCCCUGGACGAAGACUGACGCUCAGGUGCGAAAGCGUGGGGAGCAAACAGG